UACAGAAACAUUUAUCAGAAAUGUAUGUGGGUGGAUGAGCUGCUCAAGGCACUUGAAAAACACAGGCAAAUAGUAUAUUAAGGAAGCCCUGGAUCCUUACUCGGUAGCCAGUUCCAGGAACUUGGCCAGAAUCUGCGAUCUCUCACCCCAUUCUCCUGCAACACCUCCUAUGGACCUUGAGCACAAAGGAGCUCACAGUGAAGCAGAAGAAUUGCACAGAAAGGAGAGAAGAUGCUGGUGGUGGGUACAUGGGAGCCUUAGUGGAGCCUGCCUGCCAGAAGGCCUGAUGGGAGACUGAGGCUGGAGUUGGCUGCAGUGUCUGACACUAUUUUUGAUUACAAAGUUAUUAAACAUAACUUUCUGUCAUCAAGACACAAGUCUGGUCAAGGGAGAAAAAUAAACAAAGCACACUUCACCUCAGAGCUAUAACAGUCAUUAAGUAAUAGCCCACUGAUUGAUGUGGAGAAAUAACCUAUGUAUCUACUUCUAGACCUUUAUCUCUACCUAGAAAAAUCAAUGAUGAUAGAAAAUAAAUUGAUACUGAAAUAUUAGUAUAUUUAAUAUUGUUAUUAAACAAUUAAAAUGUUAUAAAUGUAUUUUUAAAAUCAAAAGGUAAACUCUCAAUAUAAACUUAAAGUGGACAUAUCCAUCCCUAGUUUUUAAAAAUAUUAACAGUUUUGAAAUAUAAGUACAUUAGUGCUAAAUAUUAAAGUGAUAUCUUUUUACACAUAGCCUCUGAAGGGCAGCAAAUUUGUUUUUGUUUCUCCAGUGCUUGCACAGUGCCUGAUAUACUAUAGGUCAGCCUUUCAAUUUGUUGAAAGGCUGUGAAAUCACUGGAACCAACUAAAUUAUUAUUGCCCAAUAAUAUUAUUUAUUAAUAAAAAUACUGUCCAAUAUUUUGUAUAUGUGAUACAUUUCCAGGGUAUUGUACAGUCCCCUUAAUUGAGUGCUGAAGGACAAAGAAUGCAGUGCUUUAGAUACAAGAGAUGUUAUAUCUACUCAUAUAAUGAUAUUAAAAAAGCACAACACUAGCCUUUUAAUUUUAUAACUCCUUGUUUUCAUUUCACAGCUAUGUGAAAUAGAGCACAGUAACAUUGCAAUUUUGGAAAAAUGACCUAGACAGCAAGACAAAUUUCCCAGAAGGGAGAUAUUUGGCGUCAGUGAAAGGGAAUUGUUUAACAAACCAGUCAGAAUAACUGCAACUAAACAUCCAUUAUAUGAUGUUAGACUAGCCUAGGGAAUCAAUUGAUAUUUUAAUAGAGUUUGUUGAUGAAAAUUUCCUUCUUUAGGAAAAUAAAAACAUUUGAUACUUCUUAUAUACCUAGAAAAAUUGAUAAUAGUAUAUUGGGGUAUAUUGGUGUUUUUUUAAAUUAUGAUUAAUGCAAUGUGUCUAGAUUUAUUUUUUCCAAGAUUUUUCCAUCUGUUGGUGCCAUCAACUCUUGAACAAAUUGGGGGAUUGUUGUAUUAUCUUGUUUCAUGAACAAUACGGCAAAGAUAACAUUUAACUCCUUUCAUUUCUCUGUGCUAAGACUCUUCACUGUAAACUUUUUACUUUCACGGAAAAUCAAGAGGAAAUUUUAUACCACUUCAAUCACACGUUUCUUUUUUUCCCCCUUUCUUCAAGCUUAAAAUGUGCACCAAAUACAAUAUGCUCAUAUGUAAAAUUCUAAACAAAUAUUUAAUGAAGAAUUACACGUGCAAGUCAUCAUAUCAGAAGAAAUAAAUGACAAUGUGAUAUAAAACACAGUCCUUUUCCUACUCAUUGUUUACAUUUGGUCAACCAGACCUAUAAAAAUAAUUCAAACAAUAAAUGCUAAUAUUGCUCCCUAUCCCCAGAAACUAAUCUCCAUGUUCUGAUGCCAAUGCCAGUGAGUGUGAAUCACUAUCAUCAGGUCCCUAAGAAGAAAAAUGGGUACCACAAAGACUCCUUCCUCUCCUUAAUCCUAAAUAUAUAAAUGCCCUAGAUUCUGCCAUGUUAAUUUAUCUUUAACUGACUCCUCCUUCUUCCUUCAUCUUUCACAUUGGCAGAAACGGUUUGUUGCCCCAAAAUUAAACCCUGAUCCCAUUAUAACCCACCAAAAACUUUGCACUUGCCUAGAGAAUAAAUUAUCUUGCUUCUUUCUCAUGGCACCUGCUAGUACCUAGUAUCUUUCAGCCUCAUCAAACUGCUAGAGGUUCUGCAUAUUCUGCUGUUUUGAUCACUGUGCUCUGAUAGAUCAAACAUCUGUAUGACAUUAAUCCUUGCACUCAGUCAUUUUUUUUCCAGCAAAUAUUUACUGAAGACCUAGUAGCUGCUCUAGAUUCAGAUCUGGGAUAAAAAAAAAAAAUCACCUAAAUAUGUAAAUCUUAAGGAGAUCAGAGUGAAGCCAAGAGUAAAAUUAAUCAGACAGUCAUGCUCUUUUCAUGACCUCAACUCCUGCCCACUCCUAGCUCCUCACUUUGCUGCAGCCUUCUAACCUCUUUGUUGACCAAACAGCUCAAGCUGGCUCUCACUUCAGGGUCUUGACACAUUGUUCCUUUUGCUUGAAAUACUCUUCUUCUGGGGAGUGCGUUGUCUAGCUCCCUUAUCUUAUUUGGGUCUCUGUUCAAAUAUCUUCUAAUAAUAUUUUCCAGGGUAAAAAGUGAUCUGUUCCUUUGUCAUUUUUUUUUCCUUCAAAAUAUUUAUCGCUAUAGAUAUUAUAUGUAUAACUGUUGAUUUUUCAAUGCAGGUUCUAUUAAGGAUGGAUCUCUUCUAUUAGUCUGCUGCUGUUUCCUCAAACCUUAAAAUAGCGUCUUGUGUAGUGGUUAUAUAUUUGGUAUAAAUUCAUUAUAUAUAUAUUUAAUUAUACAUUGAAUGUUACACUACGAUGAUAGGGUGAGAUGAUAUAUAAAUUAACAAUGGAAGAUUAGUACAGUUCUCUAAGAGAUGGGAAUUUCCUUUUGCAUAUUAAUGAGGAAUAGGGUAUUUAGAUAGACUAUCUCUUUUUACUGCAAAAAGGCCACUUGUAGUUCAUUUAGGUAAAAGAAUGACAUAGAAAAUAUAUUAAAAAAAUCCAUCACAAAACUGUUCAAGACAUACUUUGUUAUUCAAUAUUUAGUGCAAAUGCUUUUCCGAACAUAAAAAUAAAGUAAAAUUGUGCA
rnacentral:lncRNA from 1 species